rnacentral:rRNA from 1 species
GAUCAAGCGCGAUAAGGGCGUUUGGUGGAUGCCUUGGCGGCAAGAGGCGAUGAAGGACGUGAUACUCUGCGAUAAGCUUUGGGGAGCCGAGAAUAGGCGUUGAUCCAGGGAUUUCCGAAUGGGGCAACCCACCUGACAUUCAGUUAUAAACUGCGUUAGUAGUUUAUAGCCGGGUGAGACAGGUACUUUCUUACUGAAUAUAUAGGUUUGAAAGAGCAAACCCGGGGAACUGAAACAUCUAAGUACCCGGAGGAAAGGACAUCAAUAGAGACUCCGUUAGUAGCGGCGAGCGAACGCGGACCAGCCAAGCCUUGAGUGUGAGUGGAACCGGAUGGAAAGCCGGGCAAUAUGGGUGACAGCCCCGUACACGAAGCAUGAUGGGAUGUAUCAAGUAGGGCGGGACACGUGAAAUCCUGUUCGAAGAUGGGGGGACCACCCUCCAAGGCUAAGUACUCCUUGCCGACCGAUAGCGAACAAGUACCGUGAGGGAAAGGUGAAAAGCACCCCGACGAGGGGAGUGAAACAGAUCCUGAAACCGGACGCCUACAAACAGUCGGAGCAUCCUUGUGAUGUGACGGCGUACCUUUUGUAUAAUGGGUCAACGACUUGGUCUAUCUAGCAAGCUUAAGCCGUUAGGUGUAGGCGCAGCGAAAGCGAGUCUUAAUAGGGCGCAUGAGUUAGAUGGAUCAGACCCGAAACCGAGUGAUCUAGGCAUGGCCAGGUUGAAGGUGCGGUAACACGCACUGGAGGACCGAACCCACAUCCGUUGAAAAGGAUCGGGAUGAGCUGUGCCUAGGGGUGAAAGGCCAAUCAAACUCGGAGAUAGCUGGUUCUCCGCGAAAUCUAUUUAGGUAGAGCGUCGUACGAAUACCCUGGGGGGUAGAGCACUGGAUGGGUAAUGGGGGCUUACCGCCUUACUGAUCCUAACCAAACUCCGAAUACCCAGGAGUACUAUACGGCAGACACACGUCGGGUGCUAAGGUCCGGCGUGGAAAGGGAAACAGCCCUGACCAACAGCUAAGGCCCCUAAUUCAUGGCUAAGUGGGAAAGCAUGUGGGACGACCAAAACAACCAGGAAGUUGGCUUAGAAGCAGCCAUCUUUUAAAGAAAGCGUAACAGCUCACUGGUCUAGAUAAGUUGUCCUGCGGCGAAGAUGUAACGGGGCUCAAGCCAUGAGCCGAAGCUUUGGAUGCACACUUAUGUGUGCGUGGUAGCGGAGCGUUCUGUACAGCGGUGAAGGGUGAGGGUGACCGAUCCUGGAGCGUACAGAAGUGAGAAUGUUGACAUGAGUAGCGAUAAACAGUGUGAGAGACACUGUCGCCGAAAGUCCAAGGGUUCCUGCUUAAAGCUAAUCUGAGCAGGGUGAGCCGGCCCCUAAGUCGAGGCAGAAAUGCGUAGACGAUGGGAACCAGGUUAAUAUUCCUGGGCCAGGAGGAUGUGACGGAUUGCGAAGAUUGUUUGCCCUUAUUGGAUUGGGUGAGCCGUUUAGCAGUCCCUGGAAAUAGCCCUCCAUGAGACCGUACCCUAAACCGACACAGGUGGACUGGUAGAGAAUACCAAGGCGCUUGAGAGAACUGCAUUGAAGGAACUCGGCAAAAUGCCUCCGUAAGUUCGCGAGAAGGAGGCCCGGUUCGUAGGCAACUAUGGGCCGGGGGCACAAACUAGGGGGUGGCGACUGUUUACUAAAAACACAGGGCUCUGCGAAGUCGCAAGACGACGUAUAGGGUCUGACGCCUGCCCGGUGCCGGAAGGUUAAGAGGAGGAGUGAGAGCUCUGAAUUGAAGCCCCGGUAAACGGCGGCCGUAACUAUAACGGUCCUAAGGUAGCGAAAUUCCUUGUCGGGUAAGUUCCGACCUGCACGAAUGGCGUAACGACUUCCCCGCUGUCUCCAAUGCAGACUCAGCGAAAUUGAAUUCCCCGUGAAGAUGCGGGGUUCCCGCGGUCAGACGGAAAGACCCCGUGCACCUUUACUACAGCUUCAGACUGGCAUCAGGCCUGACAUGUGCAGGAUAGGUGGUGGGCUUUGAAGCGGGGACGCCAGUUCCCGUGGAGCCAUCCUUGAGAUACCACCCUUGUUACGCUUGAUGUCUAACCGCGGUCCGUUAUCCGGAUCCGGGACCCUCUGUGGCGGGUAGUUUGACUGGGGCGGUCGCCUCCCAAAGAGUAACGGAGGCGCGCGAUGGUGGGCUCAGGUUGGUCGGAAAUCAACCGUCGAGUGCAAUGGCAGAAGCCCGCCUGACUGCAAGACUGACAAGUCGAGCAGAGACGAAAGUCGGUCAUAGUGAUCCGGUGGUCCCGCGUGGAAGGGCCAUCGCUCAACGGAUAAAAGGUACGCCGGGGAUAACAGGCUGAUACUGCCCAAGAGUCCAUAUCGACGGCAGUGUUUGGCACCUCGAUGUCGGCUCAUCACAUCCUGGGGCUGGAGCAGGUCCCAAGGGUUCGGCUGUUCGCCGAUUAAAGUGGUACGUGAGCUGGGUUUAGAACGUCGUGAGACAGUUCGGUCCCUAUCUGCCGUGGGUGUAGGAGAUUUGAGAGGAGUUGCCCCUAGUACGAGAGGACCGGGGUGAACGUUCCACUGGUGGACCUGUUGUUGCGCCAGCAGCAGUGCAGGGUAGCUAUGAACGGACAGGAUAACCGCUGAAGGCAUCUAAGCGGGAAGCCCCCCUCAAAACCAGAUCUCCCUAUUAGGGCCGAGGUAGACUACCUCGUCGAUAGGCUGGAGAUGUAAGUGCAGCAAUGCAUUCAGUUGACCAGUACUAAUCGCCCGAUUGGCUUGAUCCG